CAGGGUGUAGCUAUAACCCAAAGCAUUCAGCUUACACCUGAAAGAUAUCUACCCCACAGAUCACCCUGA
rnacentral:tRNA from 1 species